rnacentral:rRNA from 1 species
CCGGGGAUUUCCGAAUGGGGCAACCCAAUAGUUUUAAUCGACUAUUAUCCGCAUCUGAAUACAUAGGAUGUGUGAAGGUAAACGUGGGGAACUGAAACAUCUCAGUACCCGCAGGAACAGAAAGAAAAUUCGAUUCCCUGAGUAGCGGCGAGCGAAACGGGAAGAGCCCAAACCAGGAAGCUUGCUUCCUGGGGUUGUAGGACUGAACAUUUGAGUUACCAAAGAACUUGAUAGCUGAAGAAUCUGGGAAGAUUCGCCAGAGAGGGUGAUAGCCCCGUAAGUUAAAUCAAGUUCUCUCAGUUCAGGAUCCUGAGUACGGCGGAGCACGUGAAAUUCCGUCGGAAUCCGGGAGGACCAUCUCCCAAGGCUAAAUACUACCUAGUGACCGAUAGUGAACCAGUACCGUGAGGGAAAGGUGAAAAGCACCCCGGAAGGGGAGUGAAAUAGUUCCUGAAACCAUGUGCCUACAAGAAGUCAGAGCCCGUUAAUGGGUGAUGGCGUGCCUUUUGUAGAAUGAACCGGCGAGUUACGUUCGUAUGCCAGGUUAAGUUGAAGAGACGGAGCCGAAGCGAAAGCGAGUCUGAAUAGGGCGAUAUAAGUAUGCGGAUGUAGACCCGAAACCAAGUGACCUACCCAUGUCCAGGUUGAAGGUGCAGUAAAAUGCACUGGAGGACCGAACUCGUGUACGUUGAAAAGUGCUGAGAUGAGGUGUGGGUAGCGGUGAAAUUCCAAACGAACUUGGAGAUAGCUGGUUCUCUCCGAAAUAGCUUUAGGGCUAGCCUCGGAAUUAGGAUCGUGGAGGUAGAGCCACUGUUUGGACUAGGGGCCCAUCAAGGGUUACCGAAUUCAGAUAAACUCCGAAUGCCAUCGAUUUAUGUCCGGGAGUCAGACGGUGAGUGAUAAGAUCCAUCGUCGAAAGGGGAACAGCCCAGACCACCAGUUAAGGUCCCUAAAUAUAUGUUAAGUGGA